rnacentral:rRNA from 1 species
GAUGAACGCUGGCGGCGUGCUUAACACAUGCAAGUCGAACGGUGAAGCCAAGCUUGCUUGGUGGAUCAGUGGCGAACGGGUGAGUAACACGUGAGCAACCUGCCCUGGACUCUGGGAUAAGCGCUGGAAACGGUGUCUAAUACUGGAUAUGAGCGCCUUCCGCAUGGUGGGGGUUGGAAAGAGUUUUCGGUUCGGGAGUGGCCUGCGGCUUAUCAGCUAGUUGGUGAGGUAAUGGCUGACCAAGGCUAUGACGAGUAGCUGGUCUGAGAGGACGAACAGUCACAAUGGGACUGAGACAUCGCCCAUACUCCUACGGGAGGCAUCAGGAAAGAAUCUUUCGCAAUGGAGGAAACUCUGACGAAGCGAUACUGCGGGAGCGAUGAAGGUCGUAAGAUUGUAAAGCUCUUUUCUGAAGGAAUAAUUCUGAAGGUACUUUAGGAAUAAGCCCCGGCUAACUUCGUGCCAGCCGCCGCCGUAA